rnacentral:rRNA from 1 species
AAUGAACGCUGGCGGCGUGCCUAACACAUGCAAGUCGAGCGGACAGACGGGGAGCUCUCUCCUCUUCCGUUAGCGACGGACGGGUGAGUAACACGUAGAUAACCUACCUAUAAGACUGGGAUAACUUCGGGAAACCGGAUCUAAUACCGGAUCAUAUAUUGAACCGCAUGGUUCAGUAGUUAAUCAGGGUUUUGCUGUCACUAAUAGAUGGAUCCGCGCUGCAUUAGCUAGUUGGUAAGGUAACGGCUUACCAAGGCGACGAUGCGUAGCUGACCUGAGAGGGUGAUCGGCCACACUGGAACUGAGACACGGUCCAGACUCCUACGGGAGGCAGCAGUAGGGAAUCUUGCGCAAUGGGCGAAAGCCUGACGGAGCAAUGCCGCGUGAGAGAUGAAGGUCUUCGGAUCGUAAAGCUCUGUUAUUAGGGAAGAACAGAAGUAUAAGAAAAUAUGGACGUCUUGACGGUACCAAAAGAAAAAGCACCGGCUAACUACGUG